rnacentral:rRNA from 1 species
UAAGGAAUAUUGGUCAAUGGACGCAAGUCUGAACCAGCCAUGCCGCGUGAAGGAUUAAGGUCCUCUGGAUUGUAAACUUCUUUUAUAGGGGCGGAAAAGGAAUGCUUUUCAGAUCACUUGACAGUACCCUAUGAAUAAGCACCGGCUAACUCCGUGCCAGCAGCCGCGGUAAUACGGAGGGUGCAAGCGUUAUCCGGAUUCACUGGGUUUAAAGGGUGCGUAGGCGGGCAGUUAAGUCAGUGGUGAAAUCCUGGAGCUUAACUCCAGAACUGCCAUUGAUACUAAUUGUCUUGAAUAUGGUGGAGGUAAGCGGAAUAUGUCAUGUAGCGGUGAAAUGCAUAGAUAUGACAUAGAACACCUAUUUGCGAAGGCAGCUUUACUUACGCCUAUAUUGACGCUGAGGCACGAAAGCGUGGGGAUCAAACA